CCUACGGGGGGCAGCAGUGAGGAAUAUUGGUCAAUGGACGAGAGUCUGAACCAGCCAAGUAGCGUGAAGGAUGACUGCCCUAUGGGUUGUAAACUUCUUUUAUCUGGGAAUAAAAUGUUCCACGUGUGGGAUUUUGUAUGUACCAUAUGAAUAAGGAUCGGCUAACGCCGUGCCAGCAGCCGCGGUAAUACGGAGGAUCCGAGCGUUAUCCGGAUUUAUUGGGUUUAAAGGGAGCGUAGGUGGAUUGUUAAGUCAGUUGUGAAAGUUUGCGGCUCAACCGUAAAAUUGCAGUUGAAACUGGCAGUCUUGAGUACAGUAGAGGUGGGCGGAAUGCGUGGUGUAGCGGUGAAAUGCUUAGAUAUCACGAAGAACUCCGAUUGCGAAGGCAGUUCACUGGACUGCAACUGACACUGAGGCUCGAAAGUGUGGGUAUCAAACAGGAUUAGAUACCCUUGUAGUC
rnacentral:rRNA from 1 species